AUACCCCAGGUCAGGGG
rnacentral:rRNA from 1 species